rnacentral:rRNA from 1 species
AUGAAAACGGCUGGCAGGAGGCGGAUGCUAGUGAAUUCAGGGCCACGCCAAGGUCGAAGGUGGCCGGGCGAGCUCGACGGAGUUCGUCCGCGGUCGGACGAAGCAGCAGCAGGGCACGGUAGCAAGCGCGAAGCUGCAGCAGUGCAGGUCAGGCGGCACGCAAGAAGAGCAGUGGCAGCAGGGCGCAAUGGUGGUGGUCGAACGAGGCAGGGGCUGUCCAUGACUGGAGCAGAGGAGGUCGACGAGUGGCGGCGCUGGAUGCUUGUAUGCAGGGAGGUGGAGCGAAGCAGAGCAGUAGCGGCGAGGCGAAACAGGCCAUGGUGA